AAGCGGAGGAAAAGAAACCAACAGGGAUUGCCUCAGUAACGGCGAGUGAAGCGGCAAAAGCUCAAAUUUGAAAUCCCCCGGGAAUUGUAAUUUGAAGAGAUUUGGGUCCGGCCGGCAGGGGUUAAGUCCACUGGAAAGUGGCGCCACAGAGGGUGACAGCCCCGUGAACCCCYUCAACGCCYUCAUCCCAGAUCUCCAAGAGUCGAGUUGUUUGGGAAUGCAGCUCUAAGUGGGUGGUAAAUUCCAUCUAAAGCUAAAUACCGGCGAGAGACCGAUAGCGAACAAGUACAGUGAUGGAAAGAUGAAAAGCACUUUGAAAAGAGAGUGAAAAAGUACGUGAAAUUGUUGAAAGGGAAGGGCUUGCAAGCAGACACUUAACUGGGCCAGCAUCGGGGCGGCGGGGAGCAAAACCACNGGGGAAUGUACCUUUCGAGGAUUAUAACCCCGGUCCUUACUCCCUCACCAUCCCGAGGCCUGCAAUCUAAGGAUGCUGGCGUAAUGGUUGCAAGUCGCCCGUCUUG
rnacentral:rRNA from 1 species